CGGCGGCCGUAACUAUAACGGUCCUAAGGUAGCGAAAUUCCUUGUCGGGUAAGUUCCGACCUGCACGAAUGGCGUAAUGAUGGCCAGGCUGUCUCCACCCGAGACUCAGUGAAAUUGAACUCGCUGUGAAGAUGCAGUGUACCCGCGGCAAGACGGAAAGACCCCGUGAACCUUUACUAUAGCUUGACACUGAACAUUGAGCCUUGAUGUGUAGGAUAGGUGGGAGGCUUUGAAGUGUGGACGCCAGUCUGCAUGGAGCCGGCCUUGAAAUACCACCCUUUAAUGUUUGAUGUUCUAACGUGGACCCGUGAUCCGGGUUGCGGACAGUGUCUGGUGGGUAGUUUGACUGGGGCGGUCUCCUCCUAAAGAGUAACGGAGGAGCACGAAGGUUGGCUAAUCCUGGUCGGACAUCAGGAGGUUAGUGCAAUGGCAUAAGCCAGCUUGACUGCGAGCGUGACGGCGCGAGCAGGUGCGAAAGCAGGUCAUAGUGAUCCGGUGGUUCUGAAUGGAAGGGCCAUCGCUCAACGGAUAAAAGGUACUCCGGGGAUAACAGGCUGAUACCGCCCAAGAGUUCAUAUCGACGGCGGUGUUUGGCACCUCGAUGUCGGCUCAUCACAUCCUGGGGCUGAAGUAGGUCCCAAGGGUAUGGCUGUUCGCCAUUUAAAGUGGUACGCGAGCUGGGUUUAGAACGUCGUGAGACAGUUCGGUCCCUAUCUGCCGUGGGCGCUGGAGAACUGAGGGGGGCUGCUCCUAGUACGAGAGGACCGGAGUGGACGCAUCACUGGUGUUCGGGUUGUCAUGCCAAUGGCACUGCCCGGUAGCUAAAUGCGGAAGAGAUAAGUGCUGAAAGCAUCUAAGCACGAAACUUGCCCCGAGAUGAGUUCUCCCUGACCCUUUAAGGGUCCUGAAGGAACGUUGAAGACGACGACGUUGAUAGGCCGGGUGUGUAAGCGCAGCGAUGCGUUGAGCUAACCGGUACUAAUGAACCGUGAGG
rnacentral:rRNA from 1 species